rnacentral:tRNA from 1 species
GGUCGCGUAGCUCAACGGGAGAGCAGCGGAUUGUCUAUCCGAAGGCUGCGGGUUCGAUCCCCGUCGCGACCG